UUGACCUACGGGAGGCAGCAGUGGGGAAUUUUGGACAAUGGGCGCAAGCCUGAUCCAGCUAUUCCGCGUGUGGGAUGACGGCCCUCGGGUUGUAAACCAUUUUAGUAGAGAACGAAAAGGAGCUAUCGAAUAAAUAGCUCUGCUGACGGUACUCUAAGAAUAAGCACCGGCUAACUACGUGCCAGCAGCCGCGGUAAUACGUAGGGUGCGAGCGUUAUCCGGAUUUAUUGGGUUUAAAGGGUGCGCAGGCGGAAUGUCAAGUCAGCGGUAAAAUUUCGGGGCUCAACCCCGUCGUGCCGUUGAAA
rnacentral:rRNA from 1 species